GACAAACGCUGGCGGCGUACCUAAGACAUGCAAGUCGAACGGGUACGGACCCUUCGGGGUGGCGUGCUAGUGGCGGACGGGUGAGUAACGCGUAGGAACCUAUCGCACAGUGGGGGAUACCACGGGGAAACCGGUGUUAAUACCGCAUGUGGUCAGCAAUGACGAAAGCAGCAAUGCGCUGUGUGCGGGGCCUGCGUCCGAUUAGCUGGUUGGUGGGGUAA
rnacentral:rRNA from 1 species